UGCUUGGGAAGGGAUUUCACUGACGGAUAUAUUUCAGAAGGAUGUCUUAUAUAAUCUAUCUAGUAUAUUCAUCACAGCAUCCAUUCUGGGUUUGCUUCAAAGUAUCUUGGACCUGAUCCUGAACUUUCCAGGCUAUCAUCGAUGGAAAUUCACUGAUGUGCUAAGAAAUAUUCUUAAAGUCUUUGUCAGUCUUUUUUGGGUUAUCAUUCUUCCACUCUUCUAUGUUCAUUCCCUCAAGGGUGCACCUCAGGGUCUGAAGCAGUUGCUUUCCUUUUCCAAACAAAUAAGAGGCAUUCCAGCAUUUUACAUGCUGGCAGUUGCAUUAUAUUUGCUUCCGAAUUUACUAGCACAGCUGUUCUGUUUCUCUUCCCAAUGUUAAGGCGUUGGAUUGAAAACUCAGACUGGCACAUAGUCAGAUUCUUCUUAUGGUGGUCUCAGCCAAGCAUCUAUGUUGGAAGAGGAAUGCAUGAUAGUCAAUUUGCUCUCAUGAAGUA